rnacentral:snoRNA from 1 species
UUCCACGUUACCAUGGGAACUGUGCUGACAAUGGCAGACUCCCUUCCUAGGCGUGGGACAGUGAGUUCUUGUUCCUGACAAGC